rnacentral:rRNA from 1 species
GACGAACGCUGGCGGCGUGCUUAACACAUGCAAGUCGAACGGAAAGGCCCUGCUUUUGUGGGGUGCUCGAGUGGCGAACGGGUGAGUAACACGUGAGUAACCUGCCCUUUACUUUGGGAUAACUUCAGGAAACUGGGGCUAAUACCGGAUAGGAGCUCCUGCUGCAUUGUGGGGGUUGGAAAGUUUCGGCGGGUGGGGAUGGACUCGCGGCUUAUCAGCUUGUUGGUGGGGUAGUGGCUUACCAAGGCUUUGACGGGUAGCCGGCCUGAGAGGGUGACCGGCCACAUUGGGACUGAGAUACGGCCCAGACUCCUACGGGAGGCAGCAGUGGGGAAUAUUGCACAAUGGGCGGAAGCCUGAUGCAGCAACGCCGCGUGCGGGAUGACGGCCUUCGGGUUGUAAACCGCUUUCGCCUGUGACGAAGCGUGAGUGACGGUAAUGGGUAAAGAAGCACCGGCUAACUACGUG